rnacentral:rRNA from 1 species
GACGAACGCUGGCGGCGUGCCUAAUACGUGCAAGUUGAGCGCUGAAGGUUGGUACUUGUACCAACUGGAUGAGCAGCGAACGGGUGAGUAACGCGUGGGGAAUCUGCCUUUGAGCGGGGGACAACAUUUGGAAACGAAUGCUAAUACCGCAUAAAAACUUUAAACACAAGUUUUAAGUUUGAAAGAUGCAAUUGCACCACUCAAAGAUGAUCCCGCGUUGUAUUAGCUAGUUGGUGAGGUAAAGGCUCACCAAGGCGAUGAUACAUAGCCGACCUGAGAGGGUGAUCGGCCACAUUGGGACUGAGACACGGCCCAAACUCCUACGGGAGGCAGCAGUAGGGAAUCUUCGGCAAUGGACGAAAGUCUGACCGAGCAACGCCGCGUGAGUGAAGAAGGUUUUCGGAUCGUAAAACUCUGUUGGUAGAGAAGAACGUUGGUGAGAGUGGAAAGCUCAUCAAGUGACGGUAACUACCCAGAAAGGGACGGCUAACUACGUG